GCUAGGCAGUACCUGCUUGUAGUCCCAGCAACUCGGGAGGCUGAGGUAGGAAACUUGCUUGAGGCCAGGAGUUCUGGGCUUUAAUAAGCUAUGCCAAUCAGGUACCUGCACUAAGUUUGACAUCAAUAAAGUGACUUCCGGGGAGGAAGUUUGCCUAAGGAGCAGUGAACUGGCCCAGGUCAGAAACAGCAGGUCAAAAUUCCUGUGCUGGUCAUUAGUAGGAUCACGAUCGUGAUCCCACUGCACUUCAGCCUGGGCAAUAUAGCAAGACACUGUCUCU
rnacentral:SRP_RNA from 1 species